rnacentral:rRNA from 1 species
GGCUCAGGAUGAACGCUAGCGGCAGGCCUAACACAUGCAAGUCGAGGGGCAGCACGGGUAGCAAUACUUGGUGGCGACCGGCGCACGGGUGAGUAACGCGUAUGCAACCUACCCUAUAUCGGGGAAUAGCUCGUCGAAAGGCGAAUUAAUACCCCAUAACACUAUGAACUGGCAUCAGUUUACAGUUAAAACUCCGGUGAUAUAGGAUGGGCAUGCGUGACAUUAGCUAGUUGGUAGGGUAACGGCCUACCAAGGCUACGAUGUCUAAGGGGUCUGAGAGGAUGAUCCCUCACACUGGUACUGAGACACGGACCAGACUCCUACGGGAGGCAGCAGUGAGGAAUAUUGGUCAAUGGGGGCAACCCUGAACCAGCCAUGCCGCGUGAAGGAAGACGGCCCUAAGGGUUGUAAACUUCUUUUGUACGGGGGUAAACUCUUCUACGUGUAGGAGAUUGAAAGUACUGUACGAAUAAGCAUCGGCUAACUCCGUGCCAGCAGCCGCGGUAAUACGGAGGAUGCGAGCGUUAUCCGGAUUUAUUGGGUUUAAAGGGUGCGUAGGCGGACCUAUAAGUCAGCGGUGAAAGACUGUCGCUCAACGAUAGCAUUGCCGUUGAUACUGUAGAUCUUGAGUACAUUUGAGGUGGGCGGAAUGUGUAGUGUAGCGGUGAAAUGCUUAGAUAUUACACAGAACACCAAUUGCGAAGGCAGCUCACUAAACUGUAACUGACGCUGUGGCACGAAAGCGUGGGGAUCAAACAGGAUUAGAUACCCUGGUAGUCCACGCCGUAAACUAUGAUCACUGGAUGUUAGCGAUACACAGCUAGCGUCUGAGUAAAAGCAUUAAGUGAUCCACCUGGGGAGUACGUCGGCAACG